ACUCCCUUUACGCUACUAUUGUAGUAGCGCUCAUACUAUUGGACGGAUGCACGAGCGCGACUGCACACUAAUGCCCUAUCUACAUAUACUUUUUACCGCCUGUACGGGCACCGGGCCUUACCUUUACUGAAACUAGCUGGACCGCUGCUUUCCUUUAAGCCAGAGGAAGGUUGCGGCAAUAACAGGUCUGUGAUGCCCUCAGAUGUUCCGGGCCGCACACGUGCUACAAUGAUCAGCACAAAGAGUAUUACCUAUCUUCUUAUACCUAACCCAAUAUGUUAAACUUAUUGUGUAAGGGUAUUGUCUUAACGACUUAUCCGCUUUAGCGCUUUAAGAUUAUUGGACGGUUGUGCCUGCCUCGAAAGAGUGUACAGGGCAGCAAGAGUAAUGAUUCCCUCGUUUUUACUACUAAUACCGCGCUUGGUAACAUAUUACACUCGAUUAAGUAGGGUCUUUGCUUUUAAUAGCAAUUGCUAUCCUUACCCUUAGGCUCUAAGGAUAUUACUAUCUCUAAGGUCUACAGGGAGGUGUAUAUGGUGCACUUACUUAUUCACGGUGGGGACAGACCAUUGUUAACUGUUGGUCUCGGUCUCAACUAGGAAUGCCUCGUACGGGUUGGUUCACCAAACCACCCGGAAUAUGUCCCUGCCCUUUGUACACACCGCCCGUCGCUCUUAUCGAUGAACUCUCUUGUGAGGCUGAGGGACUGCGUCUAUUAUACCCAUGUAAUCCUAAUAUCUCACAUACAUUUCGCUAAAGGCGAUUUUGCUCUAAGGAUUUACACGACCUUACGCACAAACUUAUUCGACCAAGUGGGUUUAAAGGAAAGAGAAGUCGUAACAAGGCAUCAGGGUACCGAGCUCGAAUCGUAAUC
rnacentral:rRNA from 1 species